CCUACGGGUGGCAGCAGUGGGGAAUAUUGCGCAAUGGGCGAAAGCCUGAACCAGCCAAGCCGCGUGAAGGAGGACUGCCCUACGGGUUGUAAACCUCUUUUAUCAAGGAAUAAAGUGAGGCACGCGUGCCUUUCUGUAUGUACUUUAUGAAUAAGGAUCGGCUAACUCCGUGCCAGCAGCCGCGGUAAUACGGAGGAUCCGAGCGUUAUCCGGAUUUAUUGGGUUAAAAGGGUGCGCAGGCGGAGCGUUAAGGCAGUGGUCAAAUCGCGGGGCUCAACCCCUCCCCGCCAUUGAAACUGGCGCUCUUGAGUGGAAGAGAGGCAUGCGGAAUGCGUGGUGUAGCGGUGAAAUGCAUAGAUAUCACGCAGAACCCCGAUUGCGAAGGCAGCAUGCCGGCUUCCGACUGACGCUGAGGCACGAAAGCGUGGGGAUCGAACAGGAUUAGAUACCCCAGUAGUC
rnacentral:rRNA from 1 species